rnacentral:rRNA from 1 species
CCUACGGGAGGCUGCAGUGGGGAAUAUUGCGCAAUGGACGAAAGUCUGACGCAGCGACGCCGCGUGAAGGAUGAAGGUUUUCGGAUCGUAAACUUCUUUUGUGAGGGACGAUUGUGACGGUACCUCACGAAUAAGGGCCUGCUAACUACGUGCCAGCAGCAGCGGUAAUACGUAGGGCCCGAGCGUUGUCCGGAUUUAUUGGGCGUAAAGAGUAUGUAGGUGGUUUUGAAAGUCGGAUUUGAAAUCUCGAGGCUCAACUUCGAGUUUGGAUCCGAAACUUCUUAACUUGAGGUUAGUAGGGGCAAGUGGAAUUAGCGGUGUAGCAGUGAAAUGCGUUGAUAUCGCUAAGAACACCGAUGGCGAAGGCAGCUUGCUAUACUUUCCCUGACACUGAGAUACGAAAGCGUGGGGAGCGAACGGGAUUAGAUACCCCAGUAGUC